UGUGUAGUGCCUGAUUAAAGGACAAUUUUGAUAGAAUUGAUCAUGUGUUUAAGACACCUCCACAA
rnacentral:tRNA from 1 species